GAAUAUUGGACAAUGGGGGGAACCCUGAUCCAGCCAUGCCGCGUGUGUGAAGAAGGCCUUUUGGUUGUAAAGCACUUUAAGCGAGGAGGAGGAGCUCUUGGUUAAUACCCAAGAUGCUUGGACGUUCCUCGACGAAUAAGCACCGGCUAACCCUGUGCCAGCAGCCGCGGUAAUACAGAGGGUGCAAGCGUUAAUCGGAUUUACUGGGCGUAAAGCGCACUUCAAUUGCCAAUUAAGGACAAUGUCAAAUCCCCGAGCGUCACUUAGUACUUGCAUUCGAUACUUUUUGGCUAUACUAUGGGAGAUGAUGCUACCAUUCCCUUUUUAUCUCUGACAUUCGUAGAUCUCUGGAGGCCUACCUCUGUCGAAGUCAUCCCUCUGGCCUACUACUGACACUGAGGUGCUAAAGCAUGGGGAGCAAACA
rnacentral:rRNA from 1 species